GACAGAGGGGGCAAGCGUUGCUCGGAAUUACUGGGCGUAAAGGGCGCGUAGGCGGGAUGGCAAGUCGGUCGUGAAAUCCCUCGGCUCAACUGAGGAGCGUCGAUCGAUACUGCCGUUCUUGAGGAUUGCAGAGGAGACUGGAAUUCCCGGUGUAGCGGUGAAAUGUGUAGAGAUCGGGAGGAACACCGGUGGCGAAGGCGGGUCUCUGGGCAAUUCCUGACGCUGAGGCGCGAAAGCGUGGGGAGCAAACGGGAUUAGAUACCCCGGUAGUCCUAGCCGUAAACGAUGGACACUAGGUGUUGGUGGUAUCAACCCCACCAGUGCCGAAGCUAACGCAUUAAGUGUCCCGCCUGGGGAGUACGGCCGCAAGGCUAAAACUCAAAUGAAUUGACGG
rnacentral:rRNA from 1 species